rnacentral:ncRNA from 1 species
AGUAACACGUGGGCAAUCUGCCCUUCACUCUGGGACAAGCCCUGGAAACGGGGUCUAAUACCGGAUAAUACUCCUGCCUGCAUGGGCGGGAGUUGAAAGCUCCGGCGGUGAAGGAUGAGCCCGCGGCCUAUCAGCUUGUUGGUGGGGUAAUGGCCCACCAAGGCGACGACGGGNN